CGCGGUAUUUUGACUGUGCGAAGGUAGCAUAAUCAUUUGUCUUUUAAUUGAAGACUUGUAUGAAUGGCUGAACGAGAAAAUAACUGUCUCUUUAAAAAAAUCUUGAAUUUUACUUUUAAGUGAAAAGGCUUAAAUAAAUUUAAGGGACGAUAAGACCCUAUAAAUCUUUAUAUUAUUUUCUUUAUCUUUCAAAUUAUAUAUUAAAAGAAAAAGAAAGAAAAAGUAUUAUAUUGGGGAGAUAAAAAUAUAAUUUUUUAACUGUUUUAAAUACAAAACAAUAAUUUUUGCUUUAUUAAAAAUUGAUCCUUUUUAAAGAUUUUAAGAUUAAGUUACUUUAGGGAUAACAGCGUAAUUUUUUUUUGAGAGUUCUUAUCGAAAAAAAAGUUUGCGACCUCGAUGUUGAAUUAAAAAUAUCCUUAUAAGUGCAGAAGCUAUAAAGGAAAGUCUGUUCGACUUUUAAAAUUUUACAU
rnacentral:rRNA from 1 species